AACUCCUGUUUUAACGGUGUUGUCUGAGCUGCAAGCAACGAAUCAAAACUUUCAACAACGGAUCUCUUGGUUCUGGCAUCGAUGAAGAACGCAGCGAAAUGCGAUAAGUAGUGUGAAUUGCAGAAUUCAGUGAAUCAUCGAAUCUUUGAACGCACAUUGCGCCCCUUGGUAUCCCGAGGGGCAUGCCUGUUCGAGCGUCAUUUCACCACUCAAGCCCGGCUUGGUGUUGGGCGACGUCUCCUUUAGGGACGCGCCUCGAAACGCUCGGCGGCGUGGCACCGGCUUUAAGCGUAGCAGAAUCUUUCGCUUUGAAAGUCGGGGCCUCGUCUGCCGGAAGACCUACUCGUAAGGUUGACCUCGGAUCAGGUAGGGAUACCCGCUGAACUUAAGCAUAUCAAUAAGCGGAG
rnacentral:rRNA from 1 species